UCCGUAGGCGGGCAGCUAAGUCAGUGGUGAAAGUCUGCAGCUCAACUGUAGAAUUGCCAUUGAUACUGGUUGUCUUGAAUUAUUAUGAAGUAGUUAGAAUAUGUAGUGUAGCGGUGAAAUGCAUAGAUAUUACAUAGAAUACCAAUUGCGAAGGCAGAUCACUAAUAAUAUAUUGACGCUGAUGGACGAAAGCGUGGGGAGCGAACAGGAUUAGAUACCCUGGUAGUCC
rnacentral:rRNA from 1 species